AACGAACGCUGGCGGCAGGCCUAACACAUGCAAGUUGAACGUGAAGCCACUUCGGUGGUGGAAAGUAGCGCACGGGUGAGUAACACGUGGGAAUUUACACUUCAGUACGGAACAACAGUUGGAAACGACUGCUAAUACCGUAUAAUGACUCCGGUCCAAAGAUUUAUCGCUGAAGGAUAAGCCCGCGUCUGAUUAGCUAGUUGGUGAGGUAAUGGCUCACCAAGACAAUGACGCCUAACUGGUUUGAGAGGAUGAUCAGUCACACUGGAACUGAGACACGGUCCAG
rnacentral:rRNA from 1 species